rnacentral:lncRNA from 1 species
GCCAGGCUUAUUUAUUUUUAUUAAUAUUCUCACAAUUCUGGGAGAGGGCGAUGCAGUUGAAACUGACGCAUAUACAUGAUUACAAAGAAUUUGCAAAACGCAGAGAUUAAAAUAAGGCAACAGAGAAUAAAUACGUUUUUGUCAGCCCUGCUCUAGAAAGUGUUCAGUCAAUGUCAGGUCCAGGGACUUCUUCAUUAGGGUGCCAUUGUGCGAGGAAAGCGGUGCUCCGGCAGCGGCAGCAUCAAGCUCCACGUUGAUUGUUUCCGAGCAAUUACCGUACCAAGUAUGCUUGGGCCUGCGAGGGGAGGAGGGAGCUUUGUGCUUCCAAGUGGCCAGAGCUGAGCCUGCAGCUGUUCUGCAUCACCUGUACAGGAGGUGUACGGUGAUGGGAUGCACUGCUGUCGCAGCCUCAUGGGUCAGCGUUGCCCCUUCUCCUGGAGAUGUCAUUGGCUGAAAGAGCAGGCAAGAGUGAACGUUGUCAUAAUGCAUUUGUCACUGAAUGCACAGGAUAGAAGGCAGCAUGCAGGGUUUGGGACAGGUCUGUUGGGGAUGGGUAUCUUCAGUUUACUGUACUGCGAGAGGACUCAAACUAAGCUGUUAGGAGAGCUUAGUUAAACAGGAGUUACAGUUGCUCGAGUGCUCAAGUGCCCAGGUUGCAUCCAGUGCUCAAGUGAUGUGUAUUCAGACUAGUUUCUGUGGUGUCCUCCAAAUGCUUUCUCAAAGCUCAGGGAAACAUGUACUCAGGAGUCAGACCGAGUGCCAAUUUUCAGACAACUGAAAAUUGUUUUCCAACAAUGUGCAGAUCACCUUCAUGCAGCUGCAAGUGGUCACAGAUACUGCGGUGGACUUGGCGAGGUGGAGCGGAGAAAUUAAUCUCCCACCAGACACCAGGGAGAGACGGAUCCAGCACGCUGCAGGCCUGGGAAUGGGAAGGCUCCUGGACAAAGCAUUGUUCAGCCUUCUGGGCUGCUUCUGCGGAUGCAUCUGCUCUAACUCUGCCCUGGAUAGAGAUGUAGUGAGCCUGGUUGAGCCUUUGCUACCUCAGCUCUAUGUUGCAUAAAUGGCAUCCCAACAUAAGAACUGCACGAUGGAGGUUGGUGCGCUCUUAUCUAAAGGGUGACAGCCCAUUAACUCUGCUAGGCUGGGGAAAUAAAAAUGUAAUGGCUGUCUGCAAACAGCAUCUCAAAUUCAUUAAAAAUGUUCUCAUUAGAUAAUGAGUGUUUAUUUAAAAAAGUAAAACAGGACAUUGGCCCACAGACCUGAGGAUUGUGCCGCUGUUAGCUGUGCAGUGCUCACAGUGCUUCUCUGUGCCUUUGCUGGGGCAAUCAGUGGGAUACAGUGCCUGCUUAGCUAUAUUAAAACCUAUAUUAAAUCUCCUCUGUUGCUCUUUUUCCACGAGAUGUGCUUGAAAACAUAUCAUGUAGGGCAAUAACAGCAGCCUUAGAAAAGUGCUUGGUAAAUAUCUGUGCAGAUUUCUGCAGAUAGGCCAGAUUGUCUGAUAGCAAAUAACAAACUCCAAAGGGAGAGACUUAACGAAAGGUAUGGCUUUAUUGAUCUAGUAAAUGUGUUAGUCCUGGAAUACAAAAGCAAUGAAAAAUGAGGAAGUUGAGGGUUUUAUCCGCUAAGAUGUGUUUAACUACGUAUUGAUGAUGGCUGUGUGACUCAUGCUGUGGAGAAUGUGAGGCAGAGCCAGUUGCAUGCUGGUGGCAGCUGACACAAUGCUGCUGUUUUCCCCCUCAAAAGCUGGGCUAUUUUAGGAAAACUACAAGUUAACAGCUUAGUGCCUUCCAUUUUUGCCAUGUAAAUCACUGUUAGAAAGCUUUUUUUCUAGAGCUGUCCGUUCAUCACGUCACUGUAUAACGUAAGUCUUAGAACUAAGGUGAAGGAGCCUUCAGUGCAACUUUUGUUGUUGGUUGUUGUAGCCCUGAUAUAAUUAUAAAUGUGCCUUUAUACCUUUUUGUCUAUAGAGUAAGAAUAUGUAUCUGUCACAACACCUCAUUAAUGUAAAUAUUGCUGCUUGGCAAUUUGUUUUAACAGAAGGCGCCGUGAACAAACUCCCCAUGUGGGCUGCUACUGCUCUGGUCUUGUGAGUUAGUUAUUAUGCCAAUUCUUCUGUUUUAACCACGUGAGUUGUGGUCGAUUUGUCUCAUAGCAAAAUGAGGUCUGCAAUGCUGCAGCAGUUUUGCAGCAAGUACAGUACGAGUUUUGCUGUCCCGUGCAUUGCAAAAAGACAGAAGUCAGUUUGAGAAACUUGGUCUAAACUUUUGUUUGCUCAUUUUCCAUCUGCAAUCACUUGUUGGUGACCUGCCGCUCCUCUCCAUUCAGCAGAGUGUGCUAAGUUUAAUGGAGACACCAGGUUUGUCCUUAUAAUACUUGAAAAUCUGGGUCAAAACACUUCUCAAAAUGUGACUAUGGUCAAAACUGAAACUGGAACCUUUGUGGUUAUCUCCACUGUCUUCCGAAGCUGUUCUGGUAUUGUUCUUAGGUAGGAUUUCAUGCACUGGAAAAGGGAAAGACAAGACAGACCAUUGAUUUUUGUAAUUUUAAGGUAACUUGGCAUAGUAGAAGUUGCAUGCUGAUUAGCUGAUAAUGAGGAGGGAAGUUAAUCAACAGACACUUGGUAAUUAAACAUUAUGACAAGUGAAGAGAGACAAGAACGUGAGGAGGAAAGUCAAGGGUCCUCCUUCCUGUCCUCUUCCUGUUUUGUUUCUGGGUAAAACAAACAGCACAGAUGAAAUUAGAUUAAACACGUACAACCAUGGAAGUUUAGUUUUGUUUUUGUAUUACAGAAAAGUGCCCCGUUUAACACUGAGCCUAUGCGAG